rnacentral:rRNA from 1 species
GUCGAACGCUGGCGGCGUGCCUAAUACAUGCAAGUAGAACGCAGUUGCGAUCGGGUGAGUUACGCGUAGGUAACUGCCUGGUAGCGGGGGAUAACUAUUGGCAACGAUAGCGCAUACCGCAUACUAACAGAUGGACCUGCGUUGUAUUAGGUCGUUGGUGAGGUAACGGGUCACCAAGGCAACGAUACGUAGCAGAGCUUGGGAGGAGAUCGACCACACUGGGACAGGGACACGGUCCAGACUACCGAGGGUGGCAACAGUAGGGAAUCUUCGGCAAAGGGGGGAACCCUGGCCGAGCAAAGCCGCGGGAGGGAAGAAGGUUUUCGGAUCGUAAAGCUCUGUUGUUAAGGAAGCGGUACUUAACCAGAAAGCGACGGCUAACUACGUGCCAGCAGCCGCGGUAAUUC